AAAUGAAAGAACAGCCAUAAAUCACGUUAUACACGACAGACCAAUAAGGCCUCGAGACCAGGGGUGGGCAAGCUUUUCUGCAAAGGACCAGCUGAGCAAGUCACAAGAAAGGAAGAGACUGACGAACCAGCUCUCCUAUACCAAGUUCCUGUGACAUCUUGAGUGUCUACUGCCCGAAAGCGAAGACUUGUUAAGGGCGAAAAGGACAACCAUGGGUGAAGGAAGCGGACCCCAGAAAAUAAUAUCUAUAAUCCCCAAACCAUUCUGAAGAAUAUUUGGCACUAAUUGAACUAGAGUAGCAGGAGCAAGGGUGCCGGCAACAGCCCAGAGCCUGACACGCGACAAACGUUGACUGAAUGGAUAAUGAAGCAUCCCCUCUUUAGAUCCAAAGCAGGAUGCUAACAUCUCUGAAAGGUCGGUGUUAGAACCAACAGAGGAAAGAACAUUAAAUCAGAAUCGAGAGGUGGCCUGUGGGUCGAGGUUGCUCACGAACGCAGACUUUCACCCUGCUUUCUCCAGUCAGAAGUUUCUUUUGAUUUUGCUAUGCUUGAACGUGGUUGCAUGGGCACUUAGGGUUGCUGAUGUCAGCAAGGCCACGU
rnacentral:lncRNA from 1 species